rnacentral:rRNA from 1 species
AGCAGCCGCGGUAAUUCCAGCUCCAAUAGCGUAUAUUAAAGUUGUUGCAGUUAAAAAGCUCGUAGUUGAACUUCGGAAUCUGCCCAUUGGUCAGGCUUAACUGUCUGAACUGGUGUGACGAGUUCCUACCUUCUGAGGAAUCUUCAUGCCAUUCAGUUGGUGUGGGGGGAAAUCAGGACUGUUACUUUAGAAAAAAUUAGAGUGUUUAAAGCAGGCAUCCGUCUGAAUACAUUAGCAUGGAAUAAUAAAAUAGGACGGUUUGGUUCUAUUUUGUUGGUUUCUAGGAUCACGUAAUGAUUAAUAGGGAUAGUUGGGGGCAUUAGUAUUCAAUUGUCAGAGGUGAAAUUCUUGGGUUUAUUGAAGACUAACUACUGCGAAAGCAUUUGCCAAGGAU